rnacentral:rRNA from 1 species
GACGAACGCUGGCGGCGUGGAUUAGGCAUGCAAGUCGAACGGUAUCAUCCUUUCGGGGGUGAGAGAGUGGCGAACUGGUGAGUAACACGUAGGUUAUCUACCCUCAAGACGGGGACAACCCAGGGAAACUUGGGCUAAUACCGGAUGUGAGCAACUUUUAGUUGUUUGAAAGGUGGCGUAAGCUGUCGCUUGGGGAUGAGCCUGCGUCCUAUUAGUUAGUUGGUGAGGUAACGGCUCACCUAGGCAAUGAUAGGUAGGCGGCCUUAACGGGUGGUCGCCCACACUGGGAUUGAGAUACGGCCCAGACUCCUACGGGAGGCAGCAGUCGAGAAUAGUCUACAAUGGUCGGAAGACUGAUAGUGCGACGCCGCGUGAACGAUGAAUCCCUUCGGGGUGUAAAGUUCUUUUAUAUGUGAGCAGUGCUUCUUAUAUUAACAGUAUGGGGAAGAGAUAUUAGCAUAUGAAUAAGCAACGGCUAACUCCGUGCCAGCAGCCGCGGUAAUACG